rnacentral:rRNA from 1 species
UACGAAGGGGGCUAGCGUUGCUCGGAAUCACUGGGCGUAAAGGGUGCGUAGGCGGGUCUUUAAGUCAGGGGUGAAAUCCUGGAGCUCAACUCCAGAACUGCCUUUGAUACUGAGGAUCUUGAGUUCGGGAGAGGUGAGUGGAACUGCGAGUGUAGAGGUGAAAUUCGUAGAUAUUCGCAAGAACACCAGUGGCGAAGGCGGCUCACUGGCCCGAUACUGACGCUGAGGCACGAGAGCGUGGGGAGCAAACAGG